GACGAACGCUGGCGGCGUGCUUAACACAUGCAAGUCGAACGGUAAGGCCCUUCGGGGUACACGAGUGGCGAACGGGUGAGUAACACGUGGGUGAUCUGCCCUGCACUUCGGGAUAAGCCUGGGAAACUGGGUCUAAUACCGGAUAGGACCACUGCCUGCAUGGGCGGGGGUGGAAAGCUUUUGCGGUGUGGGAUGGGCCCGCGGCCUAGCAGCUGGUUGGUGGGGUGGUGGCUUACCAAGGCGACGACGGGUAGCCGGCCUGGGAGGGUGACCGGCCACACUGGGACUGAGAUACGGCCCAGACUCCUACGGGAGGCAGCAGUGGGGAAUAUUGCACAAUGGGCGCAAGCCUGAUGCAGCGACGCCGCGUGAGGGAUGACGGCCUUCGGGUUGUAAACCUCUUUCAGCACCGACGAAGCGCAAGUGACGGUAGGUGCAGAAGAAGGACCGGCCAACUACGUGCCAGCCGCCGCUGUAA
rnacentral:rRNA from 1 species